UUUCAGAAAAUAGCAUGCUACCCGUCCACACCCCUCGCACGUCUGCGUCUUCUCAACUCCCCAAUGAAUCAGAACUCUCCUUUUCUUCAGAUUAAUCUCCUCCCAAAAGGAUCAACUCCUCUAAAAAUCAAGACCAGGUCGAGGAUCAUUCCCUCUGUAUCGGUGGUGGCGGCAUGGUGGUGGAACUGACCAGAUUCCAAAGCCAUCCUCCUUCCCGCCCUCUCGUGGCGAUAAAUUCUUCCCUCCGUCGUCUGAAACCUGCAGCUCCCAGCAUGAAACCCUCGCCCCCAUCCUCACCCGCUCGGAUUGAUUUCGAUCCAGGAACAUCCAUGGUUCUGGAGCUCCUGCAAGCGAUAAGAGAUCUUAUCCUCUCUUGAAUUGUGAGGUCAUUCUCAUUUAAGAGACAAAGGUCGCUGACCCUUCUCAGAGGUUCCUUUGAUCUAUGAGGGAAUCUAAAGUUGAUGAAUGGAGUUGUCUGAAUGCGAUUGGAUAAUCUAGUGGAAUCAUAAUCAGCUGAAACUCUAGAUUAUUUCAGUUGUCAGAUUGAAAACAAGGUCUUUCUCUGUUACUGUGGAACUCCAUUGUACUCGGUUGAAGAAGAACCUUGUAUUCACAGCGGUAUACAGGCCUAAUUAAAGAUAUCAAAGACCUUUAUUCUUCGACUAAUUGGUGGAGAUCAGAAAUGAAUUUGCCUGUUCAUGGUUAAUCUGCAGAGAUUUUAAUAUCACAAAAUCAUGCUCUAAAAGAAAGGGAACUGCUCAGUGCUUCAGAGAUAAUAUUUCUUUCAUGGAUUUCAUUUCUUCUCUCAGUCUUUUUGAUCUUGACCUGAAAGGAAGAGAACUUACUUGGUCUAAUGGGUGGGACCACCCCUCUCUUGCUAAAUUGGACUAUUUCUUGUCCUCCUAGGAAUGGGAAGAUAUUUUUCCUGCUUCUUUUGAAAAAGCUCUUUCAAGUACAGCCUCAGAUCACAUUCCUAUUGCAGUGGACUGCAAUAUCCGGUUUCAUAAAGUUUAGAAUCUUCAGAUUCGAAAAUUGGCGGAUCAAGGAGCUGAUUUGGAGAGUAUGGAUAGUUGGCAAAACAUUAGAGGAUCUCAGAACAAAGCUGCUGUGUGGGUAGAGAAUUUGAGAAAGCUGAGGAUGGCUCUCAAAAGUGUCUGUCUUCAUUGAAGAGGAUUUUGAAUACAGAGCUAAAAGAAAAUUUGCCCUCUGAGCUAGACACCAGAAGGAUCUUGAAAGCUUCUCUACAAGAAAUCUAUGAAAAAGAAGAGGUGUAUUGGCACCAAUGCUCUAAAGUGAGCUGGCUUAAAGAUGGAGAUCGAAAUACUACCUAUCUUCACAAAGUUGCUUCUAGGAGAAAAAGACUAAACUUCACUUCUUCUAUCUUGAAGGAUGGUGCUGAAAUCAACUGCCAAGAAAAUAUCUCUAGAACUCUUCAUAAUUUCUUCAAAGAUCUCUUUGGUCAUACUCUCUCCUUUGCUCUCAAUGAACUGGAAUAUGCUCUAUGAUGAUACCCCCUACGGCCUUAGCACCCCCAACGAAGAAUUCAGAUUGGAGGAAGUCAGGAAAGCACCUUUCUCUUUAGGAGGCUCGCAAGCUUUGGGACUAGACGGAUUCACUUUUGCCUUCUUUUAGAUAUUCUGGGACUUAUUGCAGGAUGAUCUGAUGGCUAUGCUUGAGGAGUUUCACAAAGGUACCCUUGACCUUAACAAAUUGAAGUAUGCUUAUAUCUCACUCAUUCCUAAGAAGAGGGUCUUCUAUCGCCAAGGGAUUUCAGACCAAUUAGUUUACUCAACAACCUUUACAAAAUUAUUUUUAAAGUCUUGGCUAACAGAUUGGCUUGCUUCCUACCACUUAUUAUGGAUGAAUCACAAUUGGCUUUCAUUAAAGGGUGUUCCAAUAUAGAGAAUUUUUUAUCUACACGUGACAUGGUUGCUUACUGUAGGAGGACAGGGCAUAGCGGUAUUCUCUGGAAGUUCGACUUUGAGAAGAAUUUUGACAAGGUCAAUUGGGAGUUUCUUGUUGAGACCCUCGUGCCAGAUAGUUCCCUCUCAAGUGGAUAGAAUGGAUACAGUCUCUUAUUUCUUCAGCUUCCAUUGUUGUUAUGGUGAAUGGGUCCUCUGCAAAUAGAUUAAAAUGCAAACUAGGAUUAAGACAAGGAAGCUACCGGAGCAACUUUGGAUGCCUUUUCUAGAUAAAGUUAGUGCAUCUCUAACUUCCUGAAAAAGGAAAAUUUCUAUCAUGGGUUGGAAGAGUUUCUCUGAUUAAUGCUAUCCUGUCAACCUUACCUUCCUACUGUUUGUUGACUUUCAAACUUCCAAGAUGAGUUCUACACAGGAUUAACCAAAUGAGAAAAUCAUUCCUACGGAAAGGAAAAGAGACUGUGAAGGGAUUUCAAUGCCCUAUCAGUCAGGACAAUGUAUACAAAGCCAAAGAGGAAGGAGGACCUGGUAUCAAAAAUAUCAAGAAUAUGAACAAUGCACCACUAGCCAAGUGGGCUUGGAAACUCAUUUCCAGAUCGGAUGUCUCAUGGAGGAAUUUGAUAAAUAGCUCUUAUUAUCACCAAAGAAGAUUUAGUUUCAGAGUGAGGAAGAACCUAGUGAAGCUAUCCCCUAUUUGGAAGGACAUAUGCAAGUAUUUAGAUGCAUUUUGGGACUGUACAUUAUUCAGACUGACAGAUGGCGGGGACAUCAAAUCUUGGAUCAGUAUGAUACCUCUUACCUUGCUUUUCAAUGUCCUUUACUCCAUGGCAACUAGAGAGAAUGUAUUAGUGGCAUCCUCAUGGAGAUGGAGGAAUCUUCAGUGGAUUGUUAGAUUAAGGGGCCCGCUUUCUUUCCAACAAAUGGAAUAAUUGCAGAAGUUAUAUGAUCUCCUUUCCUCCGACCCACCAGAAUUGCUGAUAUGUUGGUGUGGAAGCUUAGCAGCAAUGGAUCUUUUUGAUGGAUUCUUUCUACAAGUUCAUUAGCAACGGCGAUCUUCUUUGCUGUACCCCAAGGUCAUUUGGAAAGCAGCAGUACCUGAAAAGAUUAAGUUUUCUAUUACUGAUCUUGAAAAACAAACUUCACACGGGGGAGGCGCUUGCUAGAAAAGGAGGCGCGAUAAGUACAGGUUGUCCUUUUUAUGGUUGCAAUAGGGAAACAGUGUCACACCUCUUCCUUUAAUACCUCUUCUCCAAAAGCAUUUGGACCACCUCUAAAACUUGUCUUUAUAUUAGAGGAUGGCCCGCCAAUCUACAUGCACUUUGGACUUCUUGGAGGAAGAAGUAAUCUCGGCUUAUUUUGUGCACAUCCUGGGAUCAACUUGUGAUUGCAUGAUUUUGACGCAUAUGGCAAGAAAGAAACGGAGGGAUCUUUCUUCAUGGACAGUGCUAUAUCUUCUCCAUUCUCCAGAAAACACUCCCCACUUUCAAGCUUUGGGGUCAUCUCAGGUUCGAAAUCGGAAGAAGGAUAUUGCAAAUUAUUGGAAAGCUUAUAUUCAUUGGCAACCACUCACUUAUUUGCUAUUCUUCCAUCUUAAACGGGCCCUUUGUACAUUCCUUGUCUAAUUCCCCUCACCCCUUUUUC